rnacentral:rRNA from 1 species
UCCAGACUCCUACGGGAGGCAGCAGUGGGGAAUAUUGCACAAUGGGGGGAACCCUGAUGCAGCGACGCCGCGUGAGUGAAGAAGUAUUUCGGUAUGUAAAGCUCUAUCAGCAGGGGAGAAAAUGACGGUACCUGAGUAAGAAGCCCCGGCUAACUACGUGCCAGCAGCCGCGGUAAUACGUAGGGGGCAAGCGUUAUCCGGAUUCACUGGGCGUAAAGGGAGCGCAGGCGGCACGGCAAGUCUGAUGUGAAAACCCGGGGCUCAACCCCGGGGCUGCAUUGGAAACUGCCGGGCUGGAGUGUCGGAGGGGUAAGCGGAAUUCCUGGUGUAGCGGUGAAAUGCGUAGAUAUCAGGAGGAACACCGGUGGCGAAGGCGGCUUACUGGACGACAACUGACGCUGAGGCUCGAAAGCGUGGGGAGCAAACAGGAUUAGAUACCCUAGUAU